UGGGGAAUUUUGGACAAUGGGCGAAAGCCUGAUCCAGCCAUGCCGCGUGAGUGAAGAAGGCCUUCGGGUUGUAAAGCUCUUUUAGUCGGAAAGAAAGAGUUGCAAUGAAUAAUUGUGAUUUAUGACGGUACCGACAGAAAAAGCACCGGCUAACUACGUGCCAGCAACCGCGGUAAUACGUAGGGUGCGAGCGUUAAUCGGAAUUACUGGGCGUAAAGGGUGCGCGGGCGGUCUUGCAAGUCAGAUGUGAAAGCCCCGGGCUUAACCCGGGAAUUGCGUUUGAAACUACAAGGCUAGAGUGCAGCAGAGGGGAGUGGAAUUCCAUGUGUAGCAGUGAAAUGCGUAGAGAUGUGGAAGAACACCGAUGGCGAAGGCAGCUCCCUGGGUUGACACUGACGCUCAUGCACGAAAGCGUGGGGAGCAAACA
rnacentral:rRNA from 1 species